rnacentral:rRNA from 1 species
AGUGAACGCUGGCGGUAGGCCUAACACAUGCAAGUCGAACGGCAGCACAGUAAGAGCUUGCUCUUACGGGUGGCGAGUGGCGGACGGGUGAGGAAUACAUCGGAAUCUACUUUUUCGUGGGGGAUAACGUAGGGAAACUUACGCUAAUACCGCAUACGACCUACGGGUGAAAGCAGGGGAUCUUCGGACCUUGCGCGAUUGAAUGAGCCGAUGUCGGAUUAGCUAGUUGGCGGGGUAAAGGCCCACCAAGGCGACGAUCCGUAGCUGGUCUGAGAGGGCGAUCAGCCACACUGGAACUGAGACACGGUCCAGACUCCUACGGGAGGCAGCAGUGGGGAAUAUUGGACAAUGGGCGCAAGCCUGAUCCAGCCAUACCGCGUGGGUGAAGAAGGCCUUCGGGUUGUAAAGCCCUUUUGUUGGGAAAGAAAAGCAGCAGGUUAAUACCCCGCUGUUCUGACGGUACCCAAAGAAUAAGCACCGGCUAACUUCGUG